rnacentral:lncRNA from 1 species
AAGAUUGGCAAAGACAAGCACUCUUUCUCCCUACUUCAAACUUCAUAUCUUCUCAUCCUUGCCUCCCGUCCUCCUUUAUAUCCGCCUCCAUGGAAACCUUAAUUGACCUUUUUAUUUCAACCGUGAACAUUGGAAUUUGUCUUUACAUUUUAUUAAUUCCAUUCUUUAUUUUUAAACAUAGAUCUCACUACUUAUAAUAUUAAUGCAUAUUUAUACUUGUACUUAUACAUUCACAUCAAAUUGUAUGUUUAAUAAAAAAUUAAUUAUAAUAAAAUCUUAAAUCUAUAACUAAAGAUUAAAUAUUGAGGAGAAGAUUGAUCUAUAAAAGCUAGCCAAGAUCCUACACAAAUUCUGGCUAACAGCUGCAAAGAUCAAUAAU